GAAGAGAGAUUAGCUGUGCAGUCGUACUGGCCGAAGAUGGAUGGCGUCAUCUCUGUCCCAUUCGAGAUCUGCCACAGUCUGGGUGAGUGUCUACUACAGUCGGAGAGAUGAACGACAUAUUUUAUAACACAGCGGGGAAAGAUAUGCACCGUUUAAUGGUAGAUUGUCUGUGAGCCACAUAGUAGGCAGAAAGAAAACUAUCCUGGCGGCAUUCAAGAUGAUCUCAGACCGGACGUGUAUCUGCUUCUAUAAAUACAUCAACGAGAUGAACUACAUAUAGAUCCUCUUUGGGAGAGGGUGAGUCCAGAUGACUGAUACAAAGUGGGAUCAUUAACAAAUUCUCUACGUUCCAGCAGUUUACAAUUAACUCACAACUUCCCCCUAUCUUUCCUCUUACGUUCAUCCUUUCAUUUUUCACUCUUCCUGUCCUUCUAUCCCCUCUCCUUUCUAUUUCUCUCCUUCCCUCUUUCUUCACUUACCCCUCUAGCUAUGCGUCGUAUGUAGGUUUUCAGGGCGGGGCCCAGCCUGUGUACUUCGGUAGUACCUGUAUGGCGAGGAACCUGUGCCAUGAGCUGCUGCACACCCUGGGCCUGCACCACGAACACACACGGUUGGACCGUGACCGCUACGUCACCAUACAGUGGGAGAGCGUGGUCCCAGGAAAAGAGAAGAACUUCGAAGGUGAAGAAAGGAGACCCUCAGAAGUCAGAAGUCAGUCACACUCCUAUAUUACUCUCCUCCUUCUUCCCACUAAAGUCCUCAUUUUACUCACCUUAUUGUUAUAAACAGCUAGUAAUAAGUAAUGAUUACUGUUCCUGGUCUUGUGUACAGUAUGCAGUUCCAGUAACAUUCCCAGUUGUGUCCUAAAUGGCUCCCUAUUUAGUGCACUUACUUUGACCAGGGCAAAUGGGGCUCUGGUCAAACUUGGUGAGCUAUAUUGGGAAUAGGGUGCCAUUUGGGACGCAGGCUGUGUGUUAAAGAAGCAAGUCCUCUAACCCUCCCUUGUUGGGUUUCUCCUGGCAGGUAUUUCUUCUCAGCAGACUGGAACCCCACCAUUGUCCCCAAGAAGAGUGGAGUCCAUAUGGGACAGAGAACUGACCUGCGGUCCCUGAACAUAACACGCCUAAACGAACUCUACCACUGUGGUAAAUACACACACACAGGCAAAAUAUCAGAAUUGGGCUGCCUGUGUAAACGCAGCCAUUAUAUCACACUGUAUUCUCACCAUUUUCCUGUCCUGUCUUUCCCAGAAGAAACAACGCACUGAUGACACCAACGGUGACGAUUCCAGGUUGAACAACACUGACGUCAACUGAAGUUUCCCACCCAAAUAGCAUCGGCAUCUCACUUCUCUUCACAAUGAAUGAGUUUGACAACAAAUUCCUCAAAUCUUUCAGAUGAUUAUUAUGUACUCUGUCGACCUAUCUGUCUGGCUGCAGGCAGGAGCAGUUGCUGCCUUCCAUUAGGCCUACACUUGUUAUGGCGAGAAAUACAAUUACCUGGAAUGAAAUAAAUCUGUUCACUGUGAUAUUGUUUGUAUUUGAACAUGUUUUCUACCUUAUCUGAAUGACCAAGUUGGGUGGGAGGAAUAGAGUAAUGGAAAAAUGUGCACGUUUUAGUAUUAUCCAGAUUAUCGAAGUAACCGUGGCUGCAGUUCCAACUUUUUUGGACACCUGUUCCCGACAGCUUCUGCGGGAUUCUCUACAUUAAGCACAGUCUCUGCUCUGCUAGAGAACAGGCUACUCUAGCGAAUGGUCCUCGAUUAAUAAAGUUAGAUAAAAGCUGAAUCGUUGUCUGCAAGAUCACAUUAGCAAUAUUUCCAUGAACUGGUCCAGUGAUUUUUCGACAUUUACAAAGUUCAAUAGAAGUAUCUUGUCGAUAAAAAACUGUUUCACAAAAACCUAGUGUUGAAUAAAAAUGAAAUGGUUGAAGUGUUUCCAUUACCCAUUUGGGAAAAUCGCACAUUAACUAAUUGGCGACAGCCUGUAUUCCCUCCCACCUAUCUGUCUCCAGUAGUUCGCAAAAGCCAGCAUGGAUAGAAUGCAAUUUAAUUGAAUAAUUUGCCAUAUUCUAAUAAUUCUUAUGUGCCAAUGUAUUGCCACUGCCCGGGCCAUGGUGAAACUUGCACUCCUGUAGAUCUGAAAUAAUUGGAUGGUGAAACUUGCCAGCCAACCAGAAAAGCAAGACGGAGAAAUUCAGGCAUUCUUGAAAGUAAGGACAAUCCUUGUCCUGCAAAGAAACAAUUUUUAUAGUAAUUUUUUAUUUAUUUUGGAACCAGUAUGUAUUUAGAAUUAGCCUAAAUGUGGAGUGGAGCUUUAUAGUUACGUGAUGACAUCCAGGCCACCAGGAAGUCCAGUAGCCGGCAGUGGAAGGACAAAGAUUUUCUACUAAGAUAGACCACAUCCUGUCAUUUCCAAUGGGAGGCAAGUGAGCCGAGUAGGUGGGAUCAAGUGUUGAGAUGGGUUUUUCAAAGUUGCGUUCAUUGGUCUAUCAGAUGUCAGUCAGAUGGUUUAGUGACGUCAUUAAAAUACGUCAUCAUUAUAAAAUUAAGUUCAAAAUGAGAUGCAGCGGUUGGACUGCACUUGAGUUGAUGUAGCUAACUUUAAGUAUUUAUUCAUUGUUGAGACUGUUAUAACGCCACCAAGAUAGAAAAGUAAGUUAGUCACGUUUGUCGCAAGGACGGGACCAAAACGCAGCGGGAAUGUGUAUACUCAUCUUCUUUAAUUUGAAGAAAACCAAAACAAACACUUAAUCAAAAACAACAACGAAAAAACAGUCCUGUGAGGCACACAGCUACACCUACCCACCAAUCCCAUAGAAGAACACCCCUAUUAAAUAGGACCUUCAAUUAGAGGCAAUGAGGAAUAGCUGCCUCCAAUUGAAGGUCAACCCAAUAAACUAAGCAAAGAAAUAGAAUAACUAGACACAGACAUAGAAAUAGACUAACAUAGAACAUUGCCCCAAAAAACCCAAAACACACUAAACAAACACCCCCUGCCACGUCCUGACCAAACUACAAUAACAAAUAACCCCUUUACUGGUCAGGACGUGACAUUAAUGCUAUACAUGUUAUAUAAAUUAGAUAUUAAAACGUUUUGUAGUGGGCGUUAACUGCUUGGCUAGCUAUUUUCCAUGAAAAUGUUACUGUUCCUCAGCAUGUUAAGUUAGUUAACAGUUAACAUUAGCUAAAUCAAUAAUAUUAAAUUAGCUGGGCUCCGCACAUGCAAGUAACUAGAUGACGACUUGUUAACAGUUGUUAUUUUGCGAAUCAAUACUGGGACUAUUGGUAAAAUAUAAUUGAGUGAGGUUAUUAAUAGCUAACCCGUUACUCUUCUCAUAAUGCAUGUUAUCAUUUCUCAUGGGCAAGAAGAGGGAAAUCGUAGCUAUCUCGAUAUAUACACUAUUAUAUAUUUCUCAUCUAACGUUAACUGUAGCGCAAUAAAUCUGAUUUUGCACGUGUGAGAAAAAUAGCAGAGUAAUUAGCAUCUGAGAGAACAGGACGUAAGUUAUUUGUUUACUCGAAGAGCUAGAAAUUGCUAGAAAAUGGAUGAGCAUGGAUGAACAGCAUUUGUAUGAAUUCAUGUACUCUCUAGAGUAGUAAAUUGUUACACCUCAAAAGAGCUAGAACCAGGUGUUGGAACCAGAAUUAUUUUACAAUCGUUUUGAACAGAACCAUUACCAGGCGGACAUUGGAAUUUGUUUCUGAGUGACAUUGAGGACAAAGCAAUGGUCCCCCAACUCGCGGGCCGAAUUUGGCACAUGGGUGGUUUUAUUUGGCCCCCAAAGUUUUCUGAGGCAAUUUAAAAUAUAUAUUUUUUAUUGUUGUACAUAAAAGACUGGAAAAACACCAGGAAAUCAGCUCCAAGUGACUUUUAUUUAAGAAUCUAUUAAUGUACUCCCAUGGAUAAUAGACACCUGAUUGCAUACAAAUGUAAACAAGGGUCAAAUUAUUAUUUUACUCAAACAUAUUUGUUCUGGCUUCUUCCAGUCAAUUUGCAGUCUACAAAUUAUUUAUAAUUACAUUCCGGCCCCCCAACCAUCCACACAAGAAAAAAUUGGCACGCGGCUGAAUCUAGUUGAUGAUCCCUGGGAUAAAGGGAAUGGAUGACUCCCCUUUUCUCUGUAUGUUUUUGUUCUCUUCACCAGGAUAGUGAGACAGGGGGGGGGGGGGAGUCCAGGCACCAAAAGAAAAGUACUAUUCGGUGAAACACCAGUUUUCGCUGUGCUAUGGUUUUUGGUUUGUUAAUUAACUUCACCAUUUAUUUUUCUAAACUGUGCUCGCAUUCUAUACAUAGUGCAUUUCUUUAUAUUUUUUUUCUAUGAGGGAGAAGGGAAUCUCGAUAUGGCCUUCCAGGAUGCAAUCAAAGGCACUAGAUCUAAGUAAGAGGACUCGUAGUCCUUACACCAUGCCAGAUUUUGCCCAGAGACAGCUACGUUUUUUGUCAAUGACAUCAAUGAUGUCAGUGAUGUCCGCCGGAAGAAAUGGCAGCAGUUUUACAGGCGCCUAAUCAAUUAGGGGUGGCAGGUAGCCUAGUGGUUGGAGUGUUGGGCUAGUAACCGAAAGGUUGCAAGUUCAAAUCCCCAAGCUGACAAGGUACAAAUCUGUUGUUCUGCCCCUGAACAAGGCAGUUAACCCACUGUUUCUAGGCCAUCAUUGAAAAUAAAAAUUUGUUCUUAACUUACAUCUAGAUGUGCCGCUAGCGGAACGCCUCGCCAAUAUCCAAUGAUAGAGUGUGGCGCGAAUUACAAACUCCUCAAAAAUCCCAAAACUUACAUUUUUCAAACAUAUGACUAUUUUACACCAUUUUAAAGACAAGACUCUCCACAUUGUCCGAUUUCAAAAAGGCUUUACAACGAAAGCAAAACAUUAGAUUAUGUCAGGAGAGUACCCAGCCAGAAAUAAUCACACACCCAUUUUUCAAGCUAGCAUAUAAUGUCACAAAAACGAAAACACAGCUAAAUGCAGCACUAACCUUUGAUGAUCUUCAUCAGAUGACACUCCUAGGACAUUAUGUUAUACAAUACAUGCAUGUUUUGUUCAAUCAAGUUCAUAUUUAUAUCAAAAACCAGCUUUUUACAUUAGCAUGUGAUGUUCAGAACUAGCAUACCCACCGAAAACUUCCGGUGAAUUUACUAAAUUACUCACGAUAAACGUUCACAAAAUACAUAACAAUUAUUUUAAGAAUUAUAGAUACAGAACUCCUUUAUGCAAUCGCGGUGUCCGAUUUUAAAAUAGCUUUUCGGUGAAAGCACAUUUUGCAAUAUUCUGAGUAGAUA
rnacentral:lncRNA from 8 species